UGGUCAUUACCAAGGCUUUUAGGAUGCAGUUUUCUGAUGUGCUGCGGACAUGACCAGGAGUCAGGUGCCUGUAGGAGGCGGCUUGACAUGAGCAUUG
rnacentral:snoRNA from 1 species